AUACGGAGGGGGCUAGCGUUGUUCGGAAUUACUGGGCGUAAAGCGCGUGUAGGCGGAUCGUUAAGUCAGGGGUGAAAGCCCGGGGCUCAACCCCGGAACUGCCCUUGAUACUGGCGAUCUAGAGUCCGGAAGAGGUGGGCGGAAUUCCCGGUGUAGAGGUGAAAUUCGUAGAUAUCGGGAGGAACACCAGUGGCGAAGGCGGCUCACUGGUCCGGUACUGACGCUGAGACGCGAAAGCGUGGGGAGCAAACAGGAUUAGAAACCCUGGUAGUCC
rnacentral:rRNA from 1 species